CCUCCCGAAGCCGCGGGACCCGGCUGGCCGCGCUCCCGGCGCCGAGCGCGCACCCUCGCCGGGACACAGACGCACACUCACCCGACACACUCGCUCCUGCUUGCCGUCGGCGGAGAGUUGAAACAGCUGUGGGAUUCGCCCAGGCGCUGGAAAUGAGGGAGGGACGCGAGCCAGAACCGUGCGUGCGAGGCUCGCCUGGGUCUGCAAACACCGACCGCCUUUGCCGAAAGCCCCGCGCUUGCCUCUAGACACACUUGCCUUUGCACACGCGGGCUGGAGCCGGGCCCGCAGCGAGAUCGCACGGUGAACCGCCCACGCGCCACGACCUGCACACGCGCCCAGGAAGCUCCCCGAGACAUUAACUUGAGCUUAAGUGAAAAUAGCUGCGUUUGCCCAGAAAUGGUCCGGGAACGGGAAAGAAAGGAGAAACGGGCUGCUUCUGAAAGAAGAGAAAUUCGACUCAAGGUGGUGCUGUCUACCGCCGUUUCCACUGUCCCCUGAGCCACAGAAGAGGCCGGAGGGGGACGGGGCUGCAGACAGGGGUGGACAAAGAACCAGCAGAGAACCAACUAGUAGCUGCAGAAAACAGCUGUGUCGUUAAGGAGCAAGUGACUUUGCGGUAGUAAAUUUACUGGCAGGCCGUAGUUACUUAUUUAAAUCUAAUAAUCUUACAAGGUAAGGAGUAGGAUUAUAGAUAUGGAGACAAAGUCACUGAGAGGUUAUGUAAGUGACUCAAGGUCACAGAAUUGUAAGUGGUGGACCUAGGACUCGAACCCAAGAAAUUUGGGUCCAGAGUUAUGUUCUUCAUCCCAAGCCACUGUUACUUUUUCAGACCAAGAUCUCUGUUCCCUGGUGGUGUCCUUUUUCAUGCUAGUUAGGGUUGUCAUGUUUAGUAAAUAAAAAUGGACAGUGGCCCAUGAGGAUAUUCUUACACUAAAAAAUUCUUUGUUGUUUAUGUGGAAUGCGAAUUGGGUGUCCUGACUCAGUGGAGGGCAGGGUGGGGUGGUGAGUUUGGGUCUAGACUCUCCCCACCAUAAUUUCCCUUACUCGCCCCCCCCCCAAUUAAUUUAGUCUAAACAAAUCAGAAGAAUCUGGCACUUUUCCAAGUUAAGAUUUUGGUGCUCACCUUUGGCACCACUGGGCUUGCUGACCACCUGCCUUCCAUUAGCCUUGGAACAAAACGUCAGGCUUACUUCGCCAUCACAGACCAAAAAAUAAUGGGGACCCCUCCCCUUCUGCUGCAUCUCUGUGGAGGGAAGGGCAUGUUGCUGCACAGCCUCUAGUGUGGUGCUGCCUGGUAGACAUAUAAGAUGGGCCAUGUAUGUAAUUUAAAAUUUUCUAGUAGUUGCAGUCAACAGUAAAAAGAAACAGGUGAAAUUAAUUUUAAUAAUAUGGUUUAUUUAAACUUGUGUAUCCAAAUAUUACAUCAACAUGUAACCAAGAAAAAAAUUAUUACUGAAAUAUUGUAUUCUUUUUUUCUAAUUCUUUGGAAGCUAGUGUGUAUUUUAUACUUACAACAUUUCCCAAUUCCGACCAUCCACACGGGGCUGUGGGUUCCCAUUCUGGAUAACGCAGCUCUGGCAGGUUGCAUGGUCCACUGCUGAGUGUUUCCAUCAGGUUACUGCAUGUAAUCAAGCCUCUUAACAGUGUUUCAAGAAAACUGAGAAAGGUAAAGGGAUUGAUCACGGGCACAAAGUCAGCAAGUGGGAAUUUAACCCACAUGCAGCUGUGCCUGCCUUUGGGACACGUAUACCCGGCACCAACAGUUUUCCAGUUGGGUCCUCAGAGCCCCAUGGGGGUGCCUUAGGGGCCUGGGGUAGAGGAGGGAGGUGAGAUCUGCUUUUUGUUUGCUUUUUAUGUUGGGUUCUGGAGAAUAUUUCAGAGGUGGGGGGAUUUCCACCAUAAAAAAGCUCAAAAACACUGCCUUCCUUCAGGCCUCAAGUUCAUGAACAUGACUCUCUCCUCCCUAGAUGGUCUGCCUACAAUUUCUUCCUCCAUCCUUCUCUGCUCAUCAGGGAACCGCAGUAAUGGAGGGGCUGCGCUGGAGGCUAAGAAGGUGCCAUUAUCUUUUUGGGUGUUCUUUCCACUGUUGCUGUACAGAGACCAAACAUCGUGAUGUCUGUGUUUUGCCUCUUGUCCUUUGAUAGGGGGUUGGUGACAGAUCUUGUGCCUCUUUGUGUAUACCCGCGUGUGCACACACACCUGUGUGUGAGCAUGCAAACACGUGGGUGUGUUCACUGUGGAUGGCGUUUCAGGUCACGCCUUACUAGCUCAGUCACUCACUAGGUGGGAGGGGCUGCAAAGGGCUCUCUGACCACGUUUCUUUCCCAUAAUUCAUAGCAAACUCCAUGAUCCUCUGGGUCAAGGCCUUGGCCUAAGUUUUCCAGGUUCCUUCCAGGCGGGUGGAGACUCCUGGCCCCAUUGCAGAGCACAGCGUCUGCCUGGGAGACCUCAGGGGCUCAGAUGUCCCCGGCCUAUGAAGUCACUCAGCCAUGACUAGGUUGGGCCUAGGUGGGCACUCAGCAGAAUUCUCAGGAUCCUCCCGCCCUCCUGAUUCUACAGCCCCCGUCUAUCUCCAACCACCCCAUCUGGGACAGCCUUUCUCUUCUCGUGUCCCUUGUCACCCUAAUGCAUCUCUCACCAGGAUUGUCCUGCCUGGAUACUGGGUCUUUUAGGCUCCUCCUGCCACUCCCGACUCAUCACCUCUUUUUGUUGGUUUAACCUGGAGAGGACCCUUCUCUUCACACCUACGCGCUUCAUUUUUUCUUCCUUCAAGUCCACUGGCGGGCCUCUGUGCAGAGUGCCUGUCUGGUCUGUCUACCUUGCAAAGCCAGACUGCUGUUCUAUUUCCUUGAUUCCUGUGCGACAAUUAAACAAACAAACAAACCA